CGGAUUGAGGCUGAAACCCGCCUCCAUGAAGUUGGAUUCGCUAGUAAUCGCGCAUCAGCCAUGGCGCGGUGAAUACGUUCCCGGGCCUUGUACACACCGCCCGUCAAGCCAUGGAAGCUGGGGGUGCCUGAAGUUCGUGACCGGAAGGAGCGACCUAGGGCAAAACCGGUGACUGGGGCUAAGUCGUAACAAGGUAGC
rnacentral:rRNA from 1 species